UGGACUGUAUGUCCUGAAGAGUACCAGAGUGGUCUAAAGAUCAUACUAUAAGGAGAGAUUUCCAACUCUUUUGAAUCAUCAUUAAUCAAAUCAACGUCACCUAUUGCAGGGAGUUUUGGCACUCUGUGGUAAAAGUCAAAGAGCUGGUGUCCAUCCACGAAUAUACGGAAUCGCAGCUGUUCACAAUGGAUCUCGAUCUGAGGAUUCGGAAACAGUGAUGUAACAAAGGCCACAAAGAAGUGUUUGUACCCGGAAUGGCUGAUCCCCAAUGAAAGGGAAGUAGGGGAUGAGCCUCUCAGUGUCUCCCCAGGUGCCUGAGAUGCGGGCCUGGCGCAGAAAC